rnacentral:lncRNA from 1 species
CCUGCACAGUAAGUACUUUCUGUGCCGCUACUGUCUAUCCGCAGCCAUCCGCCUUUCUUUCGGGCUAAGCCGCCCCGGGGACUGAGAGUUAAGGAGAGUUGGAGGCUUUACUGGGCCACAGGGUUCCUACUCGCCCCUGGGCCUCCGGACAAAAUGGGGUCUGCGGUUGGUGUCCUGGCAAAAGCAGGGUAGAAGGGCUGCGGGGCGGGCCCAGAAUCCGAGCCUGCAGAGAUGGGAGCAGUUGCAGUGUUGAGGGCGGAAGAGGAGUGCGUCUUGUUUUGGGAACUGCUUCACAGGAUCCAGAAAAGGAAAUGCCCGGCGAAGCCACAGAAACCGUCCCUGCUACAGAGCAGGAGUUGCCGCAGCCCCAGGCUGAGACAGUUGUUUCUCAUCUUAGGGUCUGGAACAGAAUCUGACAGUGAUGAAUCAGUACCAGAGCUUGAAGAACAGGAUUCCACCCAGGCAACCACACAACAAGCCCAGCUGGCGGCAGCAGCUGAAAUUGAUGAAGAACCAGUCAGUAAAGCAAAACAGAGUCGGAG